rnacentral:tRNA from 1 species
UAUAGCUCAAGUGGCAGAGCACUUGCUUAGUAUGCAUGAGGUCCUGGGUUCGAUCUUAACCCCAGUA